CAGCCAAAUCAUGUUGAAACAUCUGUUCCUGUACAAUCAGUAAAGUUAAGCAAUGUUGAGCAUGGUCAGUACCUAGAUGGGUGACUGCUUGGGAAUACCAGGUACUGCAAGC